CGAACGCUGGCGGCAGGCUUAACACAUGCAAGUCGAGUGGGCGUAGCAAUACGUCAGCGGCAGACGGGUGAGUAACGCGUGGGAACGUACCUUUUUGUUCGGAACAACACAGGGAAACUUGUGCUAAUACCGGAUAAGCCCUUACGGGGAAAGAUUUAUCGCCGAAAGAUCGGCCCGCGUCUGAUUAGCUAGUUGGUAGGGUAAUGGCCUACCAAGGCGACGAUCAGUAGCUGGUCUGAGAGGAUGAUCAGCCACAUUGGGACUGAGACACGGCCCAAACUCCUACGGGAGGCAGCAGAAGGGCGAAUUCGC
rnacentral:rRNA from 1 species